rnacentral:rRNA from 1 species
UACGAAGGGGGCUAGCGUUGCUCGGAAUCACUGGGCGUAAAGAGCUCGUAGGCGGUUUGUCGCGUCUGCUGUGAAAACUCGGGGCUUAACCCCGGGCCUGCAGUGGGUACGGGCAGACUAGAGUGCGGUAGGGGAGACUGGAAUUCCUGGUGUAGCGGUGAAAUGCGCAGAUAUCAGGAGGAACACCGGUGGCGAAGGCGGGUCUCUGGGCCGUAACUGACGCUGAGGAGCGAAAGCGUGGGGAGCGAACAGG